CUUGGGGUGGCAGAGCAGGGACAUCGCAAAAGACUUAAACCCUUUCAACAGAGGUUCAAAUCCUCUCCCCAACU
rnacentral:tRNA from 3 species